AAAGAAAUGUCGGAAAAUAGUUUAUUGUGUGAAAUGAGGAGCUUAGGAGGGAAAGGAAAGUUGGCAUUUCCUUUUUGACUUCUCUGACGAUAAGAUAUUCCCCAGUACUCCGACUACUACUAAAAGAGAGAUGAACGUUCAGAAUUCAUAAAUGAAUCUUCAUAAUGGAAGGAAGAGAUUGUUAAUCGGAAGGGGAAGAUUUUGAGUCCUAUAAGAAAUUCUUUCUCUUGAUCUUCUAGGAUCUCUUGAUGGUU
rnacentral:lncRNA from 1 species